rnacentral:rRNA from 1 species
UACGAAGGGGGCUAGCGUUGCUCGGAAUUACUGGGCGUAAAGGGAGCGUAGGCGGAUAGUUUAGUCAGAGGUGAAAGCCCAGGGCUCAACCUUGGAACUGCCUUUGAUACUGGCUAUCUUGAGUAUGGGAGAGGUGAGUGGAACUCCGAGUGUAGAGGUGAAAUUCGUAGAUAUUCGGAAGAGCACCAGUGGCGAAGGCGGCUCACUGGCCCGAUACUGACGCUGAGGCACGAAAGCGUGGGGAGCAAACAGG